rnacentral:rRNA from 1 species
GACGAACGCUGGCGGCGUGCCUAAUACAUGCAAGUAGAACGCACAGUUUAUACCGUAGCUUGCUACACCAUAGACUGUGAGUUGCGAACGGGUGGGUAACGCGUAGGUAACCUGCCUGGUAGCGGGGGAUAACUAUUGGAAACGAUAGCUAAUACCGCAUAAUAUUAAUUAUUGCAUGAUAAUUAAUUGAAAGGUGCAAUUGCACCACUACCAGAUGGACCUGCGUUGUAUUAGCUAGUAGGUGAGGUAACGGCUCACCUAGGCGACGAUACAUAGCCGACCUGAGAGGGUGAUCGGCCACACUGGGACUGAGACACGGCCCAGACUCCUACGGGAGGCAGCAGUAGGGAAUCUUCGGCAAUGGACGAAAGUCUGACCGAGCAACGCCGCGUAAGUGAAGAAGGUUUUCGGAUCGUAAAGCUCUGUUGUAAGAGAAGAACGGGUGUGAGAGUGGAAAGUUCACACUGUGACGGUAUCUUACCAGAAAGGGACGGCUAACUACGUG